rfam:Mustela putorius furo unplaced genomic scaffold scaffold00140, whole genome shotgun sequence.
GGAUGUAAGGGCGAUCUGGCUGCGACAUCUGUCACCCCAUUGAUCGCCAGGGUUGAUUCCGCUAAUCUGGCUGGCUAGGCGGGUGUCCCCUUCCUCCCUCACCGCUCCAUGUGCGUCCCUCCCGAAGCUGCGCCCUCGGUCAAAGAGGACGACCUUCCCUGAUAGAGGAGAGGACCGUUCUUCGGUCAAGGGUAUAGGAGUAGCUGCGCUUCCCUGCUAAAACCUCCAAACAAGCUCUCAAAAUUUACCAUGAUUCUAAUUUGUUUCCUAUCCUUAAGGUGAGAUCAAAUGAAGAAGUAAACAGAUAUCUAACAAUUAACUUUUAAAAUUACCAUACUAAAAAUAGAUUUAUUUUUUUUU